CACUCCUGCCUGGAAGCUGAAGCAUGAUCCCAGACCUAAAGGUGAAACUCCUUUCAAGACAAGGCAGAUCAAGAAUGGUAGAAAAAUAGACGUCAUUGAGGAGGAUUAUUUGGAAACGGCUGGAGAGUUCUUCUGAAUGAAAAAGAAUAAAGGAGAAGAGAA